rnacentral:rRNA from 1 species
UAAUACGAAGGGUGCAAGCGUUACUCGGAAUUACUGGGCGUAAAGCGUGCGUAGGCGGUUCGUUAAGUCUGUCGUGAAAGCCCUGGGCUCAACCUGGGAAUUGCGAUGGAUACUGGCGAGCUAGAGUACGGUAGAGGAUGGUGGAAUUCCCGGUGUAGCGGUGAAAUGCGUAGAGAUCGGGAGGAACACCCGUGGCGAAGGCGGCCAUCUGGACCAGUACUGACGCUGAGGCACGAAAGCGUGGGGAGCAAACAGG